UAUUAUUAAACCGCGAUGGUUUCUUCGUGUCAACGACCUGUCCUGUUCCUUCUUCUCCUCCACCCUCCUUGGAUUUCUUCUCCUUUCGUUUUCUCUCUAACAAAACCAUUUCCUCUUCUUCUUCUUCAAUAAAAAAACCAAAAAUAUGACGAUUCAGAAUAUUCUUGUUACAUUAUUUCUGCUGUAUUACUAGUAAUUUAUUUAUUGUGGCCCAUGCGUUGGAUUCAUAACCUUUCCUUCACUUCUUCUUCGUCUUCAACAUCUUCGUCCUCAACAUCUCCGUCCCUUUCUCUUCAUAAAACUUCUUUCUUCUCCUUCUUCAAUGGCCACGGAUGAAAAUUUCUCUUCGGCGAGGAGAGGUCAUGGCAGUCGUUUUAGUUGGAAUAAUCCUCGUGGUUUGAGGAUAGGUGGUGGUGGUGGUUAUGAUUGCCGUGACAGGCCUAGAAUUUCAAGGCAAAAGAAUCUGGGACAUUUGAUCGAUCAAGACCUUCCAGGUCAUCAAAAACAGGUGGCACCACCGGAUCAUCAUGUGGAUUCAGGUGCCCUUUCGAGGUCAACUUCGGCUUCAGUUGCUGUUCCAUUGCCGCUUCCAUUGCCGGUGCCUUCUGGGGAUGGGGAUUCGAGGUUUCCUUCGCCCAAGGAGAGGAUUCGAGAUGGUUUUAGGGAAAGAGAGAGAGACAGAGGUGAUAGGAUUGGAGAGGGAUUAUAUCCUUCGAAUUCUCCUAUUUCUAGUGUUUUUGCUGGUCGAAACAUGAAGAAAAUGGCUGAGCGUUUAGACACUCGGUCAUCCAGGACGGUGCGUCCAGAUUUCAGUUCUGCACAGAGUUCUCGAGACAACUUCGAGAUCAAUAUUCCUAUUAGGAGUGCUCCUACUAGUCCAUUUGCAAGCCCUGUUCAUAGCCCACCAAGAACGAGUAGCACUGCUGGUAUGUUUCCUUACUACCGCAUGAUUGCUAGAGAACACAAAGUGUGGUCUGCACCAGAGAUGGCAACAUUAGACACACCUGGGCUUCCUCCUCCAGCAUUCAUGGAUGUCAGUGCUUUUAGUAAUGACAGUUCUCCUCUUCAAAGUCCAUCAAAUAUAAGUCCCCGCCGGAGAGCCAGAAGCCCAACUGGACCUUUAUCGCCAUUGACUUCCAGGUCAUCAAUCGAAAGCUCAGCUGCACGGCGUGAAAGUAAUGCUAAUUUUGAGGUCCACCCAUUACCUCUUCCUCCAGGAGCAGCUGUCCCUUCGCCAUCAGUGCCAGUGCCUAUAGCUCUACAUAAACCAGAGUUCCCAUCUAUGAAAAGUCAGUGGCAGAAGGGGAAGCUUAUUGGACGCGGUACAUUUGGAAGUGUUUAUGUUGCCAGCAAUAGGGAAACUGGGGCAUUAUGUGCAAUGAAGGAAGUGGAAAUGUUUCCUGAUGACCCGAAAUCUGCCGAGUCUAUAAAGCAAUUAGAACAGGAAAUUAAAGUUCUUAGCCAGCUGAAGCAUCCAAACAUUGUGCAGUAUUAUGGUAGUGAAGUAGUUGAUGACAAAUUCUAUAUAUAUCUGGAGUAUGUUCAUCCGGGUUCAAUCAAUAAAUACGUACAUGAACAUUGUGGAGCCAUAACAGAAAGUGUUGUUAGUAAUUUUAGUCGCCAUAUCGUCUCUGGGCUAGCUUACUUACACAGCAUGAAGACAAUACACAGGGAUAUAAAAGGGGCUAAUUUGCUUGUUGAUGCAUCUGGAGUUGUGAAGCUUGCGGACUUUGGAAUGGCAAAACUUCUUACUGGACAAGCAGCUGAUCUUUCUCUCAAGGGAAGCCCUUACUGGAUGGCUCCUGAGCUCAUGCAAGCUGUAAUGCAAAAGGAUGUUAGCUCCGACCUUGCUCUUGCUGUUGAUAUUUGGAGUUUGGGAUGUACUAUUAUUGAAAUGUUCACUGGGAAACCUCCUUGGAGCGAGUAUGAGGGGGCUGCAGCCAUGUUUAAAGUGAUGAGGGAUAGCCCAGGUAUACCUGAAAUAUUAUCACCUGAGGGCAAGGAUUUUUUGCGCUGUUGCUUUCGAAGAAACCCAGCAGAGAGACCAACAGCUGCCAUGCUACUAGAUCAUCGGUGGUUGAAAAACUGUCAGCACGUCAAUGUCUCAUAUACCAUCCAGUCAAUCAAUGGGAUAAAAUUGACUGAUAUAUCCCAAAGUCGAAGAGCAUCUGAAUUCAAGUCUGAUCAUCUACCAGGAUUACCAAGCUCAAAAGGUACCAAAGGAAAGGCGACUUCUGACAGCUACAUGCAUUAUUCUUUUUCUCCAGCAAGACUGUCCAACGACCUCGCCAUGAAACUUCCAACUUAACUGGCAAAAUGGUCUCCAUCAUUCUCCUCAUCCAGUUCCUGAGUUUCUUCCUACUCUAGUUCCUCUGCAGUUGGAUUGGAUCAUACAUCACGCCAGGUCUUCUUCUUCUUCAAUGCCCAUUUUAAGCAAAUGUAGCGCUAAAAUUAACCAUGGCUUCAGGCUGUGUCAAGGAUUUUAGAAGCAGGUUUUGUGCACUAUUCAUUGAGUUUAGAGCUUUAGCAUUUCAGAAGUUCAACUGUAUGUAUAUUUCCUAAGAAUGAGAUGCCCACCCUAUUCAGGUGGCACACGAGGUGUCUUUACUAAACGAGCGGUGGCUUGUGGGGUGACAUUCAAAUCAUCUUGACUACCCACCAUCCCUAAGAGGCGAGUGUUGCCAACAAACUUUCAAUUUAGCGGCAAUGAUCUUUUUUUUCUUUCUCUCAUUGGUUUUCGUGUCUAACCCUUUAUUUUUUUUAAAACAGCCCUUCAAUUUGUUUUUCCUUCAGAUUUGGUCCUUGUUAUUUUUAUUACUAUUUAUUUUAUUUGAAAUAAUUUAUAAAAUUAGAAUUUUAUUUCAAUUUCAACCUCCUUUAAUUUUCUUAUUUAUCAUAUUUAGUACCAUUCUUUUCAUUUUCAUUUUUUUUAUCCUUUUCUUGAUUUUUUUUAUUUUUUAAUUUUAUCUUUCAUUGUUUUAUUUCAUUUAAUUCUCAUCAUUAUUGUUUUGAUUGCUGUUUGUUUUGUUUUAAAAUUUUAGAUUAAUAGAUUGCUUUGUUAUUGUUUUUUGGGUUUGUCUUCCAAUGAGUAUCCUGGGUCACGAAUUUCAUAGACUAGCCUGAUUUGACUUUGAACCUUUUUUUAGGUUUUUUUUAUUUAAUUUAUUUUCAAUUUCAUCAUUUAACAUUAGAUUAUUGGGUCUUCAACUUUGUGAUUUUUUCCCUUUUUUUUUCGAUGAGGUUAUUCUAGUCUCAUAUCCCGGGUUGCAAGUUAGUCGAGUUAUCCCUAGUUGACUUAAUUUUUUUUUUCUGAUGUAUUUUUUUAAUUGGCCCUUUUCUUCCAGUUUCAUCUUUCAUCAUUUAGUUUGCUUAAGAGUUGACCUCCAUUGUUUUAUUCAACAUCUUUUUUAUACAGUUAUUCGGAUCUUACAACCAGGCCAUAAAUUUUACAUGUUGACACAAAUUAUGUAUUUUGUUUUUUGUUUUAAAUUGAUUUUUUUAAUUGAUUUUUUAAUAUUUAAUUUGUUAGUAAUUGAGCUUUAAAUUUUUUUAUGAGAUUAUUUCAUUUUUUAUUUUUCUUUUAAAUUUUUUUUAUAAUCAUAUUAUUAAAUUAACAAAACUUAUUAAUUUCUGUACUCACACGUUUUUCUUUCUCUCUUGAAAUUACUAUCUCUUACAAGACUAGAGGCUAACGUCUUUUCAGGUCCACCAUACAAAUAAAGAAAAGCGGACUUUCUAGGCCCUACUUAAAGCUACCUAUCCUCCUUCACAUGACACCGAGGGGUCCAAACAUUGACUGAUUGACCUACCAUCGCAUGACAUCCUUUGUAGUCAAUUGUAUGGCAAAGAUGCUCUGUUAUCUCACCAGAAACCUCCACCGGUUCAGCACUUUUCAGGCAACAUCACCCUUUUCUCGUUUAGUUCUGUCUUAACAUGACAUUAGAGCAUCGUUUUUGUACAGGGAAAAGGGCUUACAACUUCCAUCCAUUACAUGACACUGUCUGCUCACGUCGGGUUUUUAUCUAUUUUAGAAUUAAAGUGGACACCCAUCUGGCAGGAUCUAUGCACCUUCCUCCCACUUGUGCUUAAAACUUUGCUGAAGAUCACUCUAGCCCUGGGUAUAGCAGCUUUUAUGCCAAAUUAUUGAAAAAUAAACCAUGUUUAGGAAUUAGGCAUAUGUGCCUACCACUUAAUUACAGGCUUUUAGUCUAUUGAAGAUUAUGCUCGUCUCGAGCAGCAUGCCCUAGUCCAGGGUAUCUUGAACGUGA